CCGCCCAUUCUGUGCCUGUGCAAUUUAUUUUCCUGCCUAAGGAAGAACUGUACUUUUCUCACCAAUGAACUGCAUCCUGUUCAGGUCUGUCAAGAUCCUCUUAGAUGUUGAGCCUAUCUUCCAACAAUCUUGAUGUCCUCUGCACAUUUGAUGAGUUCCCCUUCUAUCCCCUCAUCUAGAUCAUUGAUGAAGAUGUGGAAGAGAUCUAGGCCGAAGGCAGAUCCCUGAGGUACCCCACUGAAUGCUUCCCUUCUUGUAGAUGUAGCGGUAGCUCCAUUAAGGAAUAAACACUGGGUGCGGCUGGUCAGCCCCCUGACGACCCACCACUUGAUUCUCUAUUCCAGGAUUUUCCCAGGAAUUGAUGUCAAGCUCUUUUUCCAGUUCUCUGAGAGCUCCCCUGGGCUGCAGGAGCAUUCAGAAAUGACGUUUGGUGACACCAAAAUUAGGUCGGCCAGCUCCUUUGGAAGCCUGGGAGGGUCGGCGUGAUUUCUACCCAUCCAGAGUGGAUUGGUCCUCUUUGACUAAUUUCGUGCCUAUUUGGAAUCGUAUAUAGAUUCUAUCUCUCUCGAUGUUGCUGUUGAUAGGCUGUUUUUUUUUCUUUUGCUGAAAAAGAGAUGGAAAGGAGUUAAGCAUUUCUGAAUUCACCCUGCUGCCUGUCUCCUUCCUGCCUUCUGCUCCCAUCAGUGGACCUAUUGACUUUCUUGACUUUCUUCUUGUUCCUUACAUAAAAUUUUCCUUUAUUAUUUUUGGCCUUUGUUGCCAGUCUUUGCCCAUUCCAGGCCUUUGCUAUUCCGAGUCGGUCCUUGCAAAUUCAGUCUACUCGCUGGUAUUCUGCUUUACUUAUGUGCCCCUCUUUCCAUUUUUUUUCUACCUGACCAUAUUGUACUUCUCAGAGGGCUCUUUGAGCAACCAUUCUGGUAUCUCAUGAUAUCUUUAAUUUAUCUGUGUCUUAUUGUUUUUGCUCGGUCCUUCAUCGUUUCAUUUUCCAGGGUUUUCUUUUAAUCAAAAUGGACAUAUAUAAUACGUUACAGGUGUAGAGUUUAGCUAUCUAUUAGGGCUUGUUAAGGCACUUGAGCUAUGUUUUAACCAAACAAGCUUUUUAAAAAGUGGAAACAUAUAAUAAAGGAGAGAAAUAUCGGCAUAUAUAGGGGGGUUUAGGAUUUUUUUUUCAUUUCAUACCUUAGAUAUUAUAUAUGCAGUAGACAUAUAUAAUGCAUUACAAAAAUAGUAUAGUUAUUGAAGAUUUGUUUUAGUCUUUUUUUUAAAGUGGACAUAUGCAUUGAAAAUACAGUGUAGGAAUAUAUUAGGACAUUUUUAGUAUCUCAAGGUUUGUUCUAAAUAAAUGUAUUUCUCAAAUUGUGAACAUAUAGGGUGCAGGAGAAAAGUGGGGUAUUAGGGCUUUUUGAGUUACUGGAGGUGUGUUGUAACAGAAUGUUUUUUUAACGUUGGCAUAUAUAAUGCAGGCGAGCAAUAGAGUACUUACAGCUGGAUGUUAGGUCGUCCUUCUCUUGCUCCCCCCGAGAGGCUCUGGAGCAGCAGGAGCUUCUGCCUGCCCCCGAGACCCUCUACCCAGCCCCGUCCCCCAGUUCCGCCACCCGCUCCCUCCGCCUUGCUGCCUCGGCGCUCUCUGCUCCCCCGAGGCCUCUCCUGGGGACCCCUCGGCUCCCGGCCCAGCUCCUGGCUCCUCUCCUCUCUUCUCCUCUCCUGCCGGCUGUGGGCUCCCGACUGCUCGGCCCAUGCGGCUGCUCGGUUCCAGUUCCAAGGUCCAGCGGUGGCCAGACUAGCCUGGCACACUAGGUAGCAAGUCCCCCACCCCCUCCCGCUCUGCCCCAGUCCCCCAUCCUCUCCUGGAUAUGUAGUGAAACCUGAUUGUGCGGCUGCCAUCCUGAUUUUUCUGCCACCCCAGCACUUCCUGGGCGAGUCCCUGCUGCCAUUAAUGGUCAUUAAGCAAGUGCCAUUUUGCCCAUUGCUGUCACUUGCCGUAACUCCAAGCCGAUCGCCCUGCACCCAAGUCAUGAGCGUGCAACCCUGGAGAUGCUGCUACAGUCAUAUGUGCGAGGACCCGUGAUACAUCACACUUUUCAGUGCCAUUGGAAGUGUAGGCACAGCGAGGAUCUCCCUCGUUUGGAUGUGUCAGAAGAAAGAGACAGUUCCCAUUGAGGCAGAAUUAGGGGGCGAGACUAGAAAUGUGGGGCUCAAUCCCGGAUCACAGCGGUGCUGAUACCUGCCGUGUUAGCAGCCUCCGUUCCUGUGGACAAACUGCCAAUCCACCAUCUCAAAGCUCAAGGCAGUGAACGUACCGAAGAGUCCUUCGUCCCUACAACAACAAGCUUGUGAGACAGGUCAGCAACAGGGAAGAAACGGCCCUAAAGUGAAUAUCCCUGGGCUAUCUCUCUGUGGCCAGUGAUGGUUAAGCAGUCAAGAGAUGCCUUUGACCUUCAGACCCAGGAAUUCAAGAGACAAACAAUGGAUGAAAGAGCAGCACACUUGCCUCAAGAAGAUGGUCCAUCAACUAAAGAGCACAACAAAAAAGUGGCAGAAAACUGCUGGACAAAAGAGAAAGGUUGGAGCGUGCCACCACCAUGAUCCCUCAGCGAGGGCUAAAGAUCAAAUAUUUGGUGAAACACACUGAAGAACUGCACAAAGAACGCUGCAGGUCAGCAGCCAAGCGGCCUUUCUCAAAUAUGAGAAGGCUGCCUUAGAACCUUUGAGAAGAGGUCUCGAAGAAGUCUGGAAUCUUCUUAAGAACUUAAGAAGCACCUCUAUAGUCUGCAGCAUGAACAGGUUGAGACGGGCCAAAGUUACUAUGUGGAGAAAAGCCACUCCAGCCAACUGAUGCAGAAAGUCAGUCCUCUUCAGCAGAAUUUGAGGGAAAAAAAGAAGCAAGUCAACAAUCUACAGCAGCAACAGCAGCCGCCGCAGAGCUAUGCUUCCCAGGCCACUGUUGGAGACCUGUGGAAAGCCGAGGAGGACAACGGAGAAGGACUGAACCAUGUCAAAAUGACGAUGCAAGAAUUACAGCUGCAGACCAGGUGUUUCGAGAAAGACAGUGAAGAUCUCCACAGGGAGGUCCCCAGCCAAGUGGCCUUCUUCAGAAAUGGUUUUGGCGCUCCUAAGCGACCAGCACAUGGGACAACUCGCUGACCCUCUCUCCCCAUAGCUGGAAUGGAGUUACGGUGGCCUUUUACCCUUUCACCCCCUUCCCCUCCCUUCCCCUGACUUGCCACUUAGUGUGCCGGGGAGCCAGGCGAGCCCCCCCCCUUUACCAGCUGAAGCAACACCUUCACCCUCGCCCUCCCAAUCACUGCAGGGCUGUCAGCUGAGCUGAACACCUCACAGCCACCGAGCAUCAGGGCCUGAGAGGGCUGGGGAAUCCCAGGGCUCCGAGCCAAAAAGGAGCCUGGAGGUGAACUUGGUAGGGUGAGUCCACAGGCUCCUCUCCAAGCCUCAGAGUUCCAGCUGAGGAUGAGGGCCACCAGGGACAGGGUGAGGGCUCUGCGGUGGGCAGAGCAGAAAGUCUGGCCAGAACAGGAUCUGGAACCCAGAACCGAGUGGCUGAAUGAGCCGAGCAGCUGGCAUCCCAGCAGCCCACAGGAGAGGAGCAGAGAGGAGAACAGCUAGAAGCCGAACUGGGAGCCGAGGGGUCCGCAGGAGACGCCACGAGGCAGCAGAGACCCCCGGAGGCCGCAAGGCUGACGGAGCUGGUGGCAGAGCUGGAAGACAGGGCUGGGCUGAGGGUCUCGGGGGCAGGCAGACAUUCCUGCUGCUCCAGAGCCUGCAAGAGAGUGGCAACAGAAGGGAGAAGCCGGGGGUGGUCAGUGGCCUGUGGGUGGUCAAGUAGUCUUAGGGGUGGUAGAACAUAAGAGAUUGAUUCAUAGGGCUGGAAGGGACUUUGGAGGUCUUCUACUCUAACCGUCUGCUCAAGGCAGGAACUUUCUGCCAUCCCAGUCAAAUGGUUUGCUUCUCCAUUUUUGAAAACUUCCAGUGAUGGAGCACUCACAACUUCUUACUGUCUCAAAAUUUCUCCUGACUUCUUGGUUGGGUCUCCCUUUCAACGUCCACCCUUGGCUUUUUUCCUGCUCUGCAGUUCUUAAGUCACUCCCUGUCCUUUGAGACAGACCCUAACAGUCUGGAAGACUGCUGUUGUGUCUGCCCGAUCCUUAUCCUCUUCGAUAGGUUACACAUAGCGAACUCCCUGAACCGUUCAUGAAAUGAUUUAGCCUCCAGCUCUUAAAUCAUCUUUGUUGCUCUUCUCUUCACACUUUCUGCAGUCUCAACAAUGUUUUCUAUCGGGCUGACCAGAGUUGGAUACAGUAUUCCAAGGUGGUCUCACCAGUGCGAUAUAAAGCGGUAGCAGCACUUCUGGCCAUCUUGAAACUGCCCCUCUUUUAUUGCUGCCUAAGACUGCAUUGGCCUAUGUUGACACCUGCAGCACACAUCUGGCUGAUCCUUCAGUGGUUUUCCUCUAGAUCCGUCUCACAAUUAUCCCUGCUGAGCCAUUCUGUGCCUGUGCAAUUGAUUUUCCUGCCUAAGGAAGAACUGUACUUUUCUCACCAAUGAACUGCAUCUUGUUAGAUGGGCCCAAUGUUCAAGUCUGUCAAGAUCCUCCUGGAUAUUGAGCCUAUCUUCCAACAAUCUUGAUGUCCUCUGCACAUUUGAUGAGUUCCCCUUCUAUCCCCUCAUCUAGAUCAUUGAUGAAGAUGUGGAAGAGUCCUAGGCCGAAGGCAGAUCCCUGAGGUACCCCACUGAAUGCUUCCCUUCUUGUAGAUGUACCGGUAGCUCCAUUAAGGAAUAAAUGCUGGGUGCGGCUGGUCAGCCCCCUGAGGACCCACCACUUGAUUCUCUAUUCCAGGAUUUUCCCAGGAAUUGAUGUCAAGCUCUUUUUCCAGUUCUCUGAGAGCUCCCCUGGGCUGCAGGAGCAUUCAGAAAUGACGUUUGGUGACACCAAAAUUAGGUCUGCCAGCUCCUUUGGAAGCCUGGGAGGGUUGGUGUCAUUUCUACCCAUCCAGAGUGGAUUGGUCCUCUUUGACUAAUUUCGUGCCUAUUUGGAAUCGUAUAUAGAUUCUAUCUCUCUCGAUGUUGCUGUUGAUAGGCUGAUUUUUUUUCUUUUGCUGAAAAAGAGAUGGAAAGGAGUUAAGCAUUUCUGAAUUCACCCUGCUGCCUGUCUCCUUCCUGCCUUCUGCUCCCAUCAGUGGACCUAUUGACUUUCUUGACUUUCUUCUUGUUCCUUACAUAAAAUUUUCCUUUAUUAUUUUUGGCCUUUGUUGCCAGUCUUUGCCCAUUCCAGGCCUUUGCUAUUCCGAGUCCGUCCUUGCAGAUUCAGUCUACUCGCUGGUAUUCUGCUUUACUUAUGUGCCCCUCUUUCCAUUUUUUUUCUACAUGGCCUAAUUGUCCCUCUUCUUCUCAGAGGGCUCUUUGAGCAACCACGCUGGUAUUGCAUGAUAUCUUUAAUUUUUCCGUGUCGUAUUGUUUUUGCUCGGUCUUUCAUCGUUUCAUUUUCCCGGUUUUUUUUUACUCAAAAUGGACAUAUAUAAUACAUUACAGGUGUAGAGUUUAGCUAUCUAUUAGGGCUUGUUAAGUCACUUGAGCUAUGUUUUAACCAAACAAGCUUUUUAAAAAGUGGAGACAUAUAAUUAAGGAGAGAAAUAUCGGCAUAUAUAGGGGGGUUUAGGAUUGUUUUUUCAUUUCAUACUUUAGAUAUGAUACAUGCAGUAGACAUAUAUAAUGCAUUACAAACAUAGUAUAGUUAUUGAAGAUUUGUUUUAGUCUUUUUUUUAAAGUGGACAUAUGCAUUGAAAAUACAGUGUAGGAAUAUAUUAGGGCAUUUUUAGUAUCUCGAGGUUUGUUCUAAAUAAAUGUAUUUCUCAAACUGUGAACAUAUAGGGUGCAGGAGAAAAGUGGGGUAUUAGGGCUUUUUGAGUUACUGGAGGUGUGUUGUAACAGAAUGUUUUUUUAACGUUGGCAUAUAUAAUGCAGGCGAGCAAUAGAGUACUUACAGCUGGAUGUUAGGUCGUCCUUCUCUUGCUCCCCCCGAGAGGCUCUGGAGCAGCAGGAGCUUCUGCCUGCCCCCGAGACCCUCUACCCAGCCCCGUCCCCCAGUUCCGCCACCCGCUCCCUCCGCCUUGCUGCCUCGGCGCUCUCUGCUCCCCCGAGGCCUCUCCUGGGGACCCCUCGGCUCCCGGCCCAGCUCCUGGCUCCUCUCCUCUCUUCUCCUCUCCUGCCGGCUGUGGGCUCCCGACUGCUCGGCCCAUGCGGCUGCUCGGUUCCGGUUCCAAGGUCCAGCGGUGGCCAGACUAGCCUGGCACACUAGGUAGCAAGUCCCCCACCCCCUCCCGCUCUGCCCCAGUCCCCCAUCCUCUCCUGGAUAUGUAGUGAAACCUGAUUGUGCGGCUGCCAUCCUGAUUUUGCUGACACCCCAGCACUUCCUGGGCGAGUCCCUGCUGCCAUUAAUGGUCAUUAAGCAAGUGCCGUUUUGCCCAUUGCUGUCACUUGCCGUAACUCCAAGCCGAUCGCCCUGCACCCAAGUCUUGAGCGUGCAACCCUGGAGAUGCUGCUACAGUCAUAUGUGCGAGGACCCGUGAUACAUCACACUUUUCAGUACCAUUGGAAGUGUAGGCACAGCGAGGAUCUCCCUCGUUUGGAUGUGUCAGAAGAAAGAGACAGUUCCCAUUAAGGCAGAAUUAGGGGGCAAGACUAGAAAUGUGGGGCUCAAUCCCGGAUCACAGUGGUGCUGAUACCUGCCGUGUUAGCAGCCUCCGUUCCUGUGGACAAACUGCCAAUCCACCAUCUCAAAGCUCAAGGCAGUGAACAUACCGAAGACUCCUUCGUCCCUACAACAACAAGCUUGUGAGACAGGUCAGCAACAGGGAAGAAACGGCCCUACAGUGAAUAUCCCUGGGCUAUCUCUCAGUGGCCAGUGAUGGUUAAGCAGUCAAGAGAUGCCUUUGACCUUCAGACCCAGGAAUUCAAGAGACAAACAAUGGAUGAAAGAGCAGCACACUUGCCUCAAGAAGACGGUCGAUCAACUAAAGAGCACAACAAAAAAGUGGCAGAAAACUGCUGGACAAAAGAGAAAGGUUGGAGCGUGCCACCACCAUGAUCCCUCAGCGAGGGCUAAAGAUCAAAUAUUUGGUGAAACACACUGAAGAACUGCACAAAGAACGCUGCAGGUCAGCAGCCAAGCGGCCUUUCUCAAAUAUGAGAAGGCUGCCUUAGAACCUUUGAGAAGAGGUCUCGAAGAAGUCUGGAACCUUCUUAAGAACUGAAGAAGCACCUCUAAAGUCUGCAGCAUGAACAGGUUGAGACGGGCCAAAGUUACUAUGUGGAGAAAAGCCACUCCAGCCAACUGAUGCAGAAAGUCAGUCCUCUUCAGCAGAAUUUGAGGGAAAAAAAGAAGCAAGUCAACAAUCUACAGCAGCAACAGCAGCCGCCGCAGAGCUAUGCUUCCCAGGCCACUGUUGGAGACCUGUGGAAAGCCGAGGAGGACAACGGAGAAGGACUGAACCAUGUCAAAAUGACGAUGCAAGAAUUACAGCUGCAGACCAGGUGUUUCGAGAAAGACAGUGAAGAUCUCCACAGGGAGGUCCCCAGCCAAGUGGCCUUCUUCAGAAAUGGUUUUGGCGCUCCUAAGCGACCAGCACAUGGGACAACUCGCUGACCCUCUCUCCCCAUAGCUGGAAUGGAGGAACGGUGGCCUUUUACCCUUUCACUCCCUUCCCCUCCCUUCCCCUGACUUGCCACUUAGUGUGCCGGGGAGCCAGGCGAGCCCCCCCCCCUACCAGCUGAAGCAACACCUUCACCCUCGCCCUCCCAAUCACUGCAGGGCUGUCAGCUGAGCUGAACACCUCACAGCCACCGAGCAUCAGGGCCUGAGAGGGCUGGGGAAUCCCAGGGCUCCGAGCCAAAAAGGAGCCUGGAGGUGAACUUGGUAGGGUGAGUCCACAGGCUCCUCUCCAAGCCUCAGAGUUCCAGCUGAGGAUGAGGGCCACCAGGGACAGGGUGAGGGCUCUGCGGUGGGCAGAGCAGAAAGUCUGGCCAGAACAGGAUCUGGAACCCAGAACCGAGUGGCUGAAUGAGCCGAGCAGCUGGCAUCCCAGCAGCCCACAGGAGAGGAGCAGAGAGGAGAACAGCUAGAAGCCGAACUGGGAGCCGAGGGGUCCGCAGGAGACGCCACGAGGCAGCAGAGACCCCCGGAGGCCGCAAGGCUGACGGAGCUGGUGGCAGAGCUGGAAGACAGGGCUGGGCUGAGGGUCUCGGGGGCAGGCAGACAUUCCUGCUGCUCCAGAGCCUGCAAGAGAGUGGCAACAGAAGGGAGAAGCCGGGGGUGGUCAGUGGCCUGUGGGUGGUCAAGUAGUCUUAGGGGUGGUAGAACAUAAGAGAUUGAUUCAUAGGGCUGGAAGGGACUUUGGAGGUCUUCUACUCCAACCGUCUGCUCAAGGCAGGAACUUUCUGCCAUCCCAGUCAAAUGGUUUGCUUGUCCAUUUUUGAAAACUUCCAGUGAUGGAGCACUCACAACUUCUUACUGUCUGAAAAUUUCUCCUGACUUCUUGGUUGGGUCUCCCUUUCAACGUCCACCCUUGUCUUUUUUCCUGCUCUGCAGUUCUUAAGUCACUCCCUGUCCUUUGAGACAGACCCUAACAGUGUGGAAGACUGCUGUUGUGUCUGCCCGAUCCUUAUCAUCUUCGAUAAGUUACACAUAGCGAACUCCCUGAACCGUUCAUGAAACGAUUUAGCCUCCAGCUCUUAAAUAAUCUUUGUUGCUCUUCUCUUCAAACUUUCUGCAGUCUCAACAAUGUUUUCUAUCGGGCUGACCAGAAUUGGAUACAAUAUUCCAAGGUGGUCUCACCAGUGCGAUAUAAAGCAGUACCAGCACUUCUGGCGAUCUUGAAACUGCCCCUCUUUUAUUGCUGCCUAAGACUGCAUUGGCCUGUGUUGACAGCUGCAGCACACAUCUGGCUGAUCCUUAAGUGGUUUUCCUCUAGAUCCGUCUCACAAUUAUCCCUGCUGAGCCAGGUACCGCCCAUUCUGUCCCUGUGCAAUUGAUUUUCCUGCCUAAGGAAGAACUGUACUUUUCUCACCAAUGAACUGCAUCUUGUUAGAUGGGCCCAAUGUUCACGUCUGUCAAGAUCCUCCUGGAUAUUGAGCCUAUCUUCCAACAAUCUUGAUGUCCUCUGCACAUUUGGUGAGUUCUCCUUCUAUCCCCUCAUCUAGAUCAUUGAUGAAGAUGUGGAAGAGAUCUAGGCCGAAGGCAGAUCCCUGAGGUACCCCACAGAAUGCUUCCCUUCUUGUAGAUGUAGCGGUAGCUCCAUUAAGGAAUAAACACUGGGUGCGGCUGGUCAGCCCCCUGAGGAUCCACCACUUGAUUCUCUAUUCCAGGAUUUUCCCAGGAAUUGAUGUCAAGCUCUUUUUACAGUUCUCUGAGAGCUCCCCUGGGCUGCAGGAGCAUUCAGAAAUUAUAUUUGGUGACCCCAAAAUUAGGUCUGCCAGCUCCUUUGGAUGCCUGGGAGGCAAACCAUCUGGUCGGCGUGAUUUCUACCCAUCCAGAGUGGAUUGGUCCUCUUUGACUAAUUUCGUGCCUAUUUGGAAUCGUAUAUAGAUUCUAUCUCUCUCGAUGUUGCUGUUGAUAGGCUGUUUUUUUUUCUUUUGCUGAAAAAGAGAUGGAAAGGAGUUAAGCAUUUCUGAAUUCACCCUGCUGCCUGUCUCCUUCCUGCCUUCUGCUCCCAUUAGUGGACCUAUUGACUUUCUUGACUUUCUUCUUGUUCCUUACAUAAAAUUUUCCUUUAUUAUUUUUGGCCUUUGUUGCCAGUCUUUGCCCAUUCCAGGCCUUUGCUAUUCCGAGUCGGUCCUUGCAAAUUCAGUCUACUCGCUGGUAUUCUGCUUUACUUAUGUGCCCCUCUUUCCAUUUUUUUUCUACCUGACCAUAUUGUACUUCUCGGAGGGCUCUUUGAGCAACCAUGCUGGUAUCUCAUGAUAUCUUUAAUUUUUCUGUGUCUUAUUGUUUUUGCUCGGUCCUUCAUCGUUUCAUUUUCCAGGGUUUUCUUUUAAUCAAAAUGGACAUAUAUAUAAUACGUUACAGGUGUAGAGUUUAGCUAUCUAUUAGGGCUUGUUAAGGCACUUGAGCUAUGUUUUAACCAAACAAGCUUUUUAAAAAGUGGAGACAUAUAAUAAAGGAGAGAAAUAUCGGCAUAUAUAGGGGGGUUUAGGAUUUUUUUUUCAUUUCAUACUUUAGAUAUUAUAUAUGCAGUAGAGAUAUAUAAUGCAUUACAAAAGUAGUAUAGUUAUUGAAGAUUUGUUUUAGUCUUUUUUUUAAAGUGGACAUAUGCAUUGAAAAUAGAGUGUAGGAAUAUAUUAGGGCAUUUUUAGUAUCUCGAGGUUUGUUCUAAAUAAAUGUAUUUCUCAAAUUGUGAACAUAUAGGGUGCAGGAGAAAAGUGGGGUAUUAGGGCUUUUUGAGUUACUGGAGGUGUGUUGUAGCAGAAUGUUUUUUUAACGUUGGCAUAUAUAAUGCAGGCGAGCAAUAGAGUACUUACAGCUGGAUGUUAGGUCGUCCUUCUCUUGCUCCCCCCGAGAGGCUCUGGAGCAGCAGGAGCUUCUGCCUGCCCCCGAGACCCUCUACCCAGCCCCGUCCCCCAGUUCCGCCACCCGCUCCCUCCGCCUUGCUGCCUCGGCGCUCUCUGCUCCCCCGAGGCCUCUCCUGGGGACCCCUCGGCUCCCGGCCCAGCUCCUGGCUCCUCUCCUCUCUUCUCCUCUCCUGCCGGCGGUGGGCUCCCGACUGCUUGGCCCAUUCGGGUGCUCGGUUCCGGUUCCAGCCGUGGCCAGACUCGCCCGGCAAACUAGGUAUCAAGUCCCCCACCCCCUUUCUAUCUGCCACCGUCCCCCAUCCUCUCCUGGAUAUGUAGUGAAACCUGAUUGUGCGGCUGCCAGCGGCUGCCAUCCUGAUUUUUCUGACACCCCAGCACUUCCUGUAAUGCCAUUAAUGGUCAUUAAAGAAUGCAAGUUUUCAAAUGCA